GCUCUACGGUCGAUUUGGGGGCGAUUGGUAUGCACCUCGCCGCCGCCGGACCCCUAUGGACCCUCCAAAAUCGAGUGGUCCCAGGGGGGCCGUUUUCUAGAAAUGGACCCUCUGGCCAAACGGACCCUCUGGCAGGACGGCCCCUCGGGCCAAAUGGACCCUCUGGCAGGACGGCCCCUCGGGCCAAAUGGACCCUCUGGCCAAACGGACCCUCUGGCAGGACGGCCCCUCGGGCCAAAUGGUCCCUCUGGGCCAGACGGACCCUCUGGGCCAUUUUCACAAAAUGGACCCUCUGGCCGAGGGGCCACGGCCCCCCUAGGGGGGCCAUUUGGGGCCGAAAAAAAAAAGUGCUCCAAAUCGCUCCGGGGUUGAUCCAGGCGUGCUCUACGGUCGAUUUGGGGGCGAUUGGUAUGCACCUCGCCGCCGCCGGACCCCUAUGGACCCUCCAAAAUCGAGUGGUCCCCAUGGUCUGAUAGUUCCGCCCUUGUAUUUUUUCAUUUUUGAGGCCGCCAGAAUAUAUUUUAUGCAACUCCCUUUAUAUCUAUAUCAUUUUCGACGGGAAUGGGUGCGUCUUCUCGGCGAACGGGCCCUUCUCAACAAAAAAAUAAUAAAGUUGCCCCGAUCCGGCUGUGGACCUCACACGUGACUCCUACCACUCCCCUAUACCCCCCCCAGAGGUGCCAGAUCGAAAGCACCCCUACCCGCCGACUUAUGCCCCCUUCGAGUUUUGAAAUCAAAAAAAUUUUGACUAAGUCCGCGUUUUUGUUCUGUUCGAGCCUCUGCGAAACGUCAAUUUUGCGGGCGUCAAGCCCACUUUCGACUGGACCCAUACAAAUUUCGUGCAAAAUCGGACCCGACUGGGCCCACUCCACCCAUCGCGUGCGAGGUCGCUUAAACAGACCUCGGUGAGUAUAUGUAGGGUGAGGUGAUUCCGAAAAACAAAAAGUGGGCGAAGGGUAUCUUCUCUACGUUUAGCGGUUGACCUUCAUUCUAGCUAUGGUUCUGGGGGCAUUCGUGGGCUUGGGCGCGGCUGGUUGGGCGUUGGCUAGUUAGGAUUUUUUAACUAAGAUUUAGCGGCUCGCCUGUCUGUAAUUCGUGCUCUUAGGUUUCUUGUUCGCUGAGAUCGGCUCUCGAUGUCAAGGCUUCCAGCCCUGGGUUGGGCUUUCGACGUUCGGGGCGGUUCUGCGGCCCUCGGCGGCCUCAUGGCUCGGCUGAGGGUUGCCCGAAUGCCUAACGUUCUCGUACGAUAGGUUUCGAUGGGGCUUGUCGAUUGUUGGCCGCUGGCCAGCGCUGACAUCCCUAACUUCCGGGGGGGAGGUCGACCUCGAUAUCCGCCGACGCUUUAGCGGCGUCGGCGUGUUCGGGCGUCGAUUCCCUCCUUCCGCUCCCCCAAUGCCGCAGGGGCCGGGCACGACGUGUCUUUGGCCGCCAAAGCCUGCGCGCGGAGGAUGGAGGGAAAACUGCAGUGGGGGCAAUCGAAUGCCCGGUUCUUUCGAGCGGUACGCCGCCUCGCAGAGAUUCGGGCGGGCCCGUAUGCCUCGCGCGUUGGGCCCCGACCUCGAUUUGAUCACUUCUCGGGCGCGGCCAGCCGUGCUGCCCGCCCGACGCCAGAUCCGCGGGCACCCCAGCCGGGUGCCCCGGGGGCGGCGGCAGGUGAGAUAUCUGGUUGAUUCUGCCAGUAGUCAUAUGCUUGU
rnacentral:rRNA from 1 species